rnacentral:rRNA from 1 species
UACGUAGGGUGCAAGCGUUGUCCGGAAUUACUGGGCGUAAAGCGUGCGCAGGCGGUUUUGUAAGCCCGAUGUGAAAGCCCCGGGCUCAACCUGGGAAUGGCAUUUGGGACUGCAAGGCUGGAGUAUGGCAGAGGAGACUAGAAUUCCUGGUGUAGCAGUGAAAUGCGUAGAUAUCAGGAGGAAUACCGAUGGCGAAGGCAGGUCUCUGGGCCAAUACUGACGCUCAUGCACGAAAGCGUGGGGAGCAAACAGG